UACGUAGGGAGCAAGCGUUGUUCGGAUUUACUGGGCGUAAAGGGCGCGUAGGCGGCGCGGUAAGUCACUUGUGAAAUCUCUGAGCUUAACUCAGAACGGCCAAGUGAUACUGCAGUGCUAGAGUGCAGAAAGGGCAAUCGGAAUUCUCGGUGUAGCGGUGAAAUGCGUAGAUAUCAAGAGGAACACCUGAGGCGAAGGCGGGUUGCUAGGCUGACACUGACGCUGAGUGCGCGAAAGCCAGGGGAGCAAACGGG
rnacentral:rRNA from 1 species